GCUUGCACUUUUAACAUGGAGGAUUACAUAUCUAAAAUAAAACCGUUUUCUAAACUGGACUUUCAAUCGAAGCAGGAGGUAAUAAUUAAAGGAAUAUCUCCAGAGACUUUUAAAAUUGAAGAAAGAUGAGAAAGACUGCCUUUGAUCAGAAGCAGCUGCACAUGGACCCAUCUACAAGUAAAGGUAUGAAUGUCCUGCGAUGAGGUGGCGACUUGUCCAGGGUGUACCCCGCCUUCCGCCCGAUUGUAGCUGAGAUAGGCUCCAGCGCCCCCGAAGGGAAUAAGCGGUAGAAAAUGGAUGGAUGGAGUUGAUGGACAGCAAACUGAAGCUGGUAGCUCCCUCCAGGGGCCUGCCACCGCUGCUCUGGAUUCGCCGACCUCACGGAAGGAAAGUCACUGCCACUCUGCCUGUCACAGGAAGCCUCUCCAUCCUUCAUUUUCCUAUGACUUGGAGAGCAGGGAUGUCACACAACAUAGCUUGUGUUUGCUGGAUUUGUGUGGGCUUUCAUACAAAAAUGUUUUGUUAGUUUAUUAAUCUUAUGACCAAACAUAACAUGCCUUAUAACAAUGACCACCGCACAAUGACUGUUAAAACCAUGGCAAAAUAUUAAAUUUUUAGUGUGCCAUGUUUGUAGUAUGUUGUUGCAAGACUCCCAAUUGAGUCAAUUGCUGCAUGAAGCUUCAUGAUGCUGGAAAAUGUACUUUGUGCCCGAAUAUCUGUAUUGAUUUUUUUUUUUCGGAAAGAUAUAUGAUCAUUUUGGUUUGUAGUCUUCCUUUUGGACAUAAUUUGUAGAUAUAAUUGUGUAAUAAAUGUGUUAACAUUUA